rnacentral:rRNA from 1 species
UACGGGGGGGGCAAGCGUUGUUCGGAAUUACUGGGCGUAAAGGGCUCGUAGGUGGCCAACUAAGUCAGACGUGAAAUCCCUCGGCUUAACCGGGGAACUGCGUCUGAUACUGGAUGGCUUGAGUUUGGGAGAGGGACGCGGAAUUCCAGGUGUAGCGGUGAAAUGCGUAGAUAUCUGGAGGAAUACCGGUGGCGAAGGCGGCAUCCUGGACCAUUACUGACGCUGAGGCGCGAAAGCGUGGGGAGCGAACAGG